rnacentral:misc_RNA from 1 species
GAUGAAGAACGUAGCGAAACGCGAUAGGUAAUGUGAAUUGCAGAAUUCCGUGAAUCAUCGAAUCUUUGAACGCACAUUGCGCCCGCCAGUAUUCUGGCGGGCAUGCCUGUCUGAGCGUCAUUUCAACCCUCAUGCCCCUAGGGCGUGGUGUUGGGGAUCGGCCAAAGCCCGCGAGGGACGGCCGGCCCCUAAAUCUAGUGGCGGACCCGUCGUGGCCUCCUCUGCGAAGUAGUGAUAUUCCGCAUCGGAGAGCGACGAGCCCCUGCCGUUAAACCCCCAACUUUCCAAGGUUGACCUCAGAUCAGGUAGGAAUACCCGCUGAACUUAAGCAUAUCAAUAAGCGGAGGA